AGUUAUUUAUCUCUUUUUCUACUCUACAGGAUAGUCUUACCAGAUAGAAUAUUCUAGGUUGCAGGUUUUUCUCAUUCAGGACUUUGAACAUUAUCUUGUCACUCCCUUCUAGCCAGCAGUGUUUGUGUAGAGACAUCAGCUGAAAGCCUUAUGGGGCUUCCCUUGUAAUUAACUCUUUGUUUUAUCUCUUGCUGCCUUUACAAUCCUUUUUUUAACCUUGAGUCUGGCAGA